rnacentral:rRNA from 1 species
CCUACGGGUGGCAGCAGUGGGGAAUAUUGGACAAUGGGCGAAAGCCUGAUCCAGCCAUGCCGCGUGUGUGAAGAAGGCCUUCGGGUUGUAAAGCACUUUCAGUGGGGAAGAAAGCCUUGGGGCUAAUACCCUCGAGGAAGGACAUCACCCACAGAAGAAGCACCGUCUAACUCCGUGCCAGCAGCCGCGGUAAUACGGAGGGUGCGAGCGUUAAUCGGAAUUACUGGGCGUAAAGCGCGCGUAGGCGGUCUGAUAAGCCGGUUGUGAAAGCCCCGGGCUCAACCUGGGAACGGCAUCCGGAACGGUCAGGGUAGAGUGCAGGAGAGGAAGGUAGAAUUCCCGGUGUAGCGGUGAAAGGCGUAGAGAUCGGGAGGAAUACCAGUGGCGAAGGCGGCCUUCUGGACUGACACUGACGCUGAGGUGCGAAAGCGUGGGUAGCAAACAGGAUUAGAUACCCGGUAGUC